AGUGGCAGACGGGUGAGUAACGCGUGAACAUGUGCCUUUUUUCUGGGGAUACCGUUUGGAAACGAACGUUAAUACCGAAUGUGGCGGCAUCGUUAAACUGUUAGGGAGAAAAGAGCAGUUCGCGUUCUAUCAGCUAGAUGGUGGGGUAACGGCCUACCAUGGCUACGACGGAUAGCUGGUCUGAGAGGAUGAUCAGCCACACUGGAACUGAGACACGGUCCAGACUCCCACGGGAGGCAGCAGUGAGGAAUCUUGCACAAUGGGCGAAAGCCUGAUGCAGCGACGCCGCGUGAGGGACGACGGCCUUCGGGUUGUAAACCUCUGUCAGUAGGGAAGAAGAUUGACGGUACCUACUGAGGAAGCUUCGGCUAACUACGUGCCAGCAGCCGCGGUAAGACGUAGGGAGCAAGCGUUGCCCGGAAUUACUGGGCGUAAAGAGCUCGUAGGCGGGGGCGUGCGUCUGAGAGGAAAUCUCAAGGCUUAACCUUGGGGCUGUCUCAGAUACGGCGCUUCUUGAGGAUGUGAGAGGAAAGUGGAAUUUCCGGUGUAGCGGUGAAAUGCGUAGAUAUCGGAAGGAACACCAGUGGCGACGCGACUUUCUGGCACAUUCCUGACGCUGAAGAGCGAAGCGUGGUAGCGACGGAUAGAUACCCCGGUAGUCAACGUCGA
rnacentral:rRNA from 1 species